UACGUAGGGGGCGAGCGUUACCCGGAUUUACUGGGCGUAAAGAGCGUGUAGGCGGCUGGCCAAGUGUGAUGUGAAAUCUUCGGGCUUAACCCGAAAACUGCAUUGCGAACUGGUCUGGCUAGAGUGUGUGAGAGGGUAGUGGAAUUCCCGGUGUAGCGGUGAAAUGCGUAGAUAUCGAGAGGAACACCAGUGGCGAAGGCGGCUACCUGGCACAUAACUGACGCUGAUACGCGAAAGCGUGGGGAGCGAACCGG
rnacentral:rRNA from 1 species